CCUUCUAAAAGAUAUAUACUGCGAUAGUUUUACAUUGUUUUCACACAAUCAAUAUUAAUACAGCACGAUGAAGGUGCUUGGAUUGUUUCCAUGAAAAGUAUUUUGCAUAGAAAACUAAAGAACCAACUGAUGCUUCUUAUAAUUUAGAAGCCAUAAGAUGAACUAGAAUUCUGCAUCUUGUUGGGAAGUAUGCUCUCAACAUUUGCUGCUUGCAUGGGGAUCAUUGACACAUGGAGCUAAAACAAUAUAUGAGGAAACCACCAUUAGUUCUGAAUAGUGCAAGAAAUUAAAGUAACUCCGUAAUAAGUAUAGUUAUAACUGUACAUUGAAUAAGCGCUGAAGUUAAAUUAGUUUUCCCUCUAAAAAAUAAAUAGGAUGAAUCAUGUUCCAUACUGGGUGAAAACUCAAAAAUGUAAAUGCAGCCACACACCAUAGUCUAAACUCACCUCACCAAUACGUUUGAGACACUCAAUGCACAGUUCAAGUUGAAAGAUCUGAAUAUUAAACCUCAAUCCCAGCAGUUAAUCUGUCUAGUUUAUGUCUGAGCAUCAACUAAGCACCAAGAAAAAUUGCGUGAUUAAGUUUGUCAUGCACACUAAUUAGAUUAUCCCAUUGAACAAAUUUCCAAAUCUGAGAUGCUUCGCAUAACAUAACACGUAAUGCUACAAAUGACCUUCUUAUAUAACAUGCCACAUAUGCAGUACUAACUCUCACCACAAGUAAAAUGAAGUACAUUGAUUGUGAAGCAUUUGUAAAUAUACAAAAUAUAAAGCUGUUUCUGGAAAAUUUAUUAGUGCAAGCUUACAAAUAAAUUUGGUGUAUCUUCGACAGUGGGCUUUGAUAUUUCUCAUAAUCUUAACUUUAGCCAGCAUCAUGCAGCUCCAUAAUAUAUAUCGAUAGCCAAAUUUUAUGCCUUUUGCCUAUCAAUUCCAUUUUCAUAUUGUUUAUGGCAUAUAAAAAAAAAACAUUUCCAGAAGACAUCUACAAGUAAAUAUUCGGACUUUGCUAAGUCAAUGAGUAAACUAAUUAAUUAUUCUAAUUGGUACAGUUUCAUAGGAAAAGAAAGGAUGCGAAAUUGUAAGCUAACUAGUAACCAUCUUAAUGGGGGACAUUUUCCAAUAAAUAUAUGCUCGCAAAACUAAUAAAUGGGUAAUAAAUAGAUGACAAGAUAACCUUAAAAGUGAAACAUAUCCAUAUUCUAUUGCAUGGCAGGAGUGACAAUAUAGAUAAGUAGACACUCCUUACAUUUCAGAUGCCACUUGAGGUUUCAUGUCAUAAAUGAGGAGCAAAUGGUACACACUGGUGAAGGAAGGUAUAUGACUCUCUAAAAGUGAAGUAAAACAUGAAGGCCAGAUGUGUUACAAGACAACAGAAACAAUUCGUGCAUUUUUGGCAAAUAACAAAUAUACAUAAACUUCCUGCAGGUGCCUCUGCCUCAACCUCUGAAGCAAAGUUUCCUUCCUCACCAAAGUAAAAGUCUGCCAUCUGGUCUGAAGUAAUCCAAGAUAUGGAAAUUGCAGCAACUAACAUAAAAAUUAUUUAAAUCAAGCUUAACUAUCAUCUGACUAUGUAUGAAACAAAACACGGCAAAGAAUAAAUAAGGAAAUAUGCU
rnacentral:lncRNA from 1 species